rnacentral:rRNA from 1 species
ACCUGGUUGAUUCUGCCAGUAGUCAUAUGCUUGUCUCAAAGAUUAAGCCAUGCAUGUCUAAGUAUAAGCAAUCUAUACGGUGAAACUGCGAAUGGCUCAUUAAAUCAGUUAUCGUUUAUUUGAUAGUACCUUUCUACUUGGAUACCUGUGGUAAUUCUAGAGCUAAUACAUGCUAAAAACCUCGACUUCGGAAGGGGUGUAUUUAUUAGAUAAAAAACCAAUGCCCUCCGGGGCUCCUUGGUGAUUCAUAAUAACUUAACGAAUCGCAUGGCCUUGCGCCGGCGAUGGUUCAUUCAAAUUUCUGCCCUAUCAACUUUCGAUGGUAGGAUAGUGGCCUACCAUGGUUUCUACGGGUAACGGGGAAUUAGGGUUCGACUCCGGAGAGGGAGCCUGAGAAACGGCUACCACAUCCAAGGAAGGCAGCAGGCGCGCAAAUUACCCAAUCCCGACACGGGGAGGUAGUGACAAUAAAUACUGAUACAGGGCUCUUUUGGGUCUUGUAAUUGGAAUGAGUACAAUUUAAAUCCCUUAACGAGGAACAAUUGGAGGGCAAGUCUGGUGCCAGCAGCCGCGGUAAUUCCAGCUCCAAUAGCGUAUAUUAAAGUUGUUGCAGUUAAAAAGCUCGUAGUUGAAACUUGGCCUUGGCUGACCGGUCCGCCUCACCGCGUGCACUGGUUCGGCCGGGGCUUUCCUUCUGGGGAUCCGCAUGGCCUUCAUUGGUUGUGUUGGGGAACCAGGACUUUUACUUUGAAAAAAUUAGAGUGUUCAAAGCAGGCAUAUGCUCGAAUACAUUAGCAUGGAAUAAUAGAAUAGGACGUUGUGGUUCUAUUUUGUUGGUUUCUAGGACCGCCGUAAUGAUUAAUAGGGAUAGUCGGGGGCAUCAGUAUUCAAUUGUCAGAGGUGAAAUUCUUGGAUUUAUUGAAGACUAACUACUGCGAAAGCAUUUGCCAAGGAUGUUUUCAUUAAUCAGUGAACGAAAGUUAGGGGAUCGAAGACGAUCAGAUGAUUUUACAUCUCUGCACUACAGUACCGAGGUUUAGUGUAUUUGGUCGUUAAUAGCGAACUAGUCUAGGGCUUCGGCCCUGGGCCACACCAUCAAACUGUUGGGGCUCCCAGACGGGUGACCUACAGCCAAGCUUUACAGCGCAGUCUACAGACUGAAUGUUGGUGGGCGAGUCUUUAGGGACUCGUUUCUAAUAUAGUCGAAUCUCUUGGGAAGAUCUCAGGAAUAAUCAUGCAGAUACCGUCGUAGUCUUAACCAUAAACUAUGCCGACUGGGGAUCGGACGGUGUUAUUAUUUUGACCCGUUCGGCACCCUACGAGAAAUCAAAGUCUUUGGGUUCUGGGGGGAGUAUGGUCGCAAGGCUGAAACUUAAAGACAUUGACGGAAGGGCACCACCAGGCGUAAACCACUUGCAGCAAGCUCUGCGCCUUUGAGCAGUGCCGGCCCCCCUUGAUAGGGGCUUGGCCGGUGAGAUCGUGUCCAGGCAGCCUAAGCGGCUGCCGAAUACUGCCGUGAGCCCUGUUUACGGGGCGAUACACUCACAAUGCGGGGAGAUUCCGAGACCCUCAGAUACCUCCAUCGGCUGAAAGGUUCGACGCAUGGUAACAGUUCUGGGGGGCGUUAGAGGAGCAAUCCGCAGCCGUUUGCCUACCGGCGUUUUGCCCACGGCCACUGGUUCAGAGAUUAGAUGGGUGUGGGGACCAGCAUUCCCUAAGCUUUAAUCCGUUGGGUGGCAUACGCCGCCCAGUUAUCCACGGGAGCCUGCGGCUUAAUUUGACUCAACACGGGGAAACUCACCAGGUCCAGACAUAAUAAGGAUUGACAGAUUGAGAGCUCUUUCUUGAUUUUAUGGGUGGUGGUGCAUGGCCGUUCUUAGUUGGUGGAGUGAUUUGUCUGCUUAAUUGCGAUAACGAACGAGACCUUAACCUGCUAAAUAGCCAGGUCAGCUUUGGCUGGCCGCCGGCUUCUUAGAGGGACUAUCGGCUCAAGCCGAUGGAAGUUUGAGGCAAUAACAGGUCUGUGAUGCCCUUAGAUGUUCUGGGCCGCACGGUACGUAAUUACUUUCUUUAUAUCCCUAUUCUUGAUGUCAUCUGCUAACGUUUUACAGCGCGCUACACUGACAGAGGCAACGAGUAAUCCACCUUGGCCGGAAGGCCUGGGUAAUCUUGUUAAACUCUGUCGUGCUGGGGAUAGAGCAUUGCAAUUAUUGCUCUUCAACGAGGAAUGCCUAGUAAGCGCAAGUCAUCAGCUUGCGUUGACUACGUCCCUGCCCUUUGUACACACCGCCCGUCGCUACUACCGAUUGAAUGGCUCAGUGAGGCCUUCGGACUGGCCUUAGGAGGUCGGCAACGACCACCCAGGGCCGGAAAGUUCGUCAAACUUGGUCAUUUAGAGGAAGUAAAAGUCGUAACAAGGUUUCCGUAGGCGGAACGCUGCAUCCUUUCCGGGUACAUCUGCCGAAACCUUAGUGCAUUGAUUAGGCGACUCUAAAGAAGUAUAAUCCUCGGGGUUGACCCCUCGAGCACUAGCCAUCCGUUGUGGAUGGCGACAUUACCAGUAUGCGGGAAUCUUCAGGCUACGUUCGCUUGGAUGACCCGCAGUCACUUUGGUGACUCACAGGCUAAAUGGUAAUGGGCGUAGAUGUUAGGCACCUAUGCUUCAGAUAUAGUCGGUCCCCAGAUAUCUCUGGGAGACUUGUAGAUUUUGGGGGCUUCCAGUCAUUCAUGUCAAUUAAUGGUAGAUUUGAUUCUUGCGAUGAAAAGUCAGUUUUUAUAAGAAAUAUAAAAUACCAUUUAACCUCCUAUGUCCUCCGGCGGCAGAAGAGAGAUCAGCGGCGGAGAGCCGUUCCACAGACAUGUUUGACGUUCGAAGCUGAUGCUGAUGGGGACUAUGCUAGACAAACAUAUUCCUGGCAUCUUUGCUGCCUCGCUCCUGCCCCGUGUACAUGGCAGGUGCAAGUUGCAGGUACUUGCACAACCGGCAAGUGCCCAGCAGCAGGGCUCAAAACCAUUUUCCACAAGCGAGUAAACGUUCCGUAGGUGAACCUGCGGAAGGAUCAUUA